rnacentral:tRNA from 1 species
GCCAGGGUACCCAAGCGGUUAAGGGGCAAGCCUGCUAAGCUUGUUGGGCUUCUGCCCUGCCUGGGUUCGAAUCCCAGCCCUGGCG